CUGACUUUGGACCAGCGUAAUCAUCUCAGUGUGGCUUCUCCGUAUAAAGCUGAGCAGUUCGGUGAAGAUCCUGUCACCUUCUUCCUCUGUGGCUUGAGUCAGGUUCUCAGCUGAGACCAUGUCAUGUCCUUUGUGGUUGGUGUCCAGCAUGCAGAGGCAGCAGAUACACUGGCGGUCAGUGCGGCAGUAAACCUCCAGGAGCUUAUGAUGUUGGGGGCACGUCUUUUUUUGGAGUUCUCCAGUGACGUCCACCAGUAAGUGUGCUUUCCCCACAUUCAGUUCAUUGUGCAACCUGAGGUGAGUUUCACAGUAAGACGCCAAACACACCAGACAUGUUUUGAUAGCUUUCUCUUUCCUAUCACUGCAAGAGUCACACUCCACGUCCUCCGCUUGCUCCGUCUGAAGUCCUGUCCUCUCCAGUGCCUCUGCAACACAAGCUACAGAUGUGUCUGGAUCUGAUACAGAAGCAUUGGAAUCAUCCAGAUCUGCACUAAGAGCAUCGUAUUCUUCUGGAUCUGCAGCUGGAGCCUCAGAUUCUUCCAGAUCUGCAAAUGGAGCCCUGGUUUCGCUCAUAUCUGCAGCUGGAGCCUCAGAUUCUUCCAGAUCUGUCUCACAUGAGGAAUUCUGUUUACACCGAGGGCAGCUGUUUUCCUGCAGGUCCUGGAGGCAAACCGAGCACACACAGCGUGAGUUCUGUUCAUCUGCCAUUUGCAUGGAGAACAAGGAGCUCGGUGUUAAAGGGACUCUACAAACAGUUUAGUUUCAUUUCUUUCUUUUCCUCGUGGGUGUUUGUGGGCGGGACUCUCUUAUGUGUGUGUGUGGCCACAGAUAAAGAGACAGAACUGAAGCUUGCUCUAAUGUGAAACCUAAACAGAGAGAGACACACGGUUGCUUGCCAAGAUGAUGUUGCUUUGUGAUUAACAAAAUAAUACCAGACUAACCAGCUAGUAAAAUUAAUUCAAAUAUUCUAAGUGCACAGGAGAGACACUGUACCAUCAUGUCUCUUUUUCUUUUGACAGACAUUAUUGUGUAUUUGCAUACAGAACAAAAGUGAGACAUUUUAUAUUAAAAAGUGUUGUUUUUAAA